GACGAACGCUGGCGGCGUGCUUAACACAUGCAAGUCGAACGGUAAGGCCCUUCGGGGUACACGAGUGGCGAACGGGUGAGUAGCACGUGGGUGAUCUGCCCUGCACUUCGGGAUAAGCCUGGGAAACUGGGUCUAAUACCGGAUAGGACUCCUGGCUUCAUGGUUGGGGGUGGAAGGCUUUUGCGGUGUGGGAUGGGCCCGCGGCCUAUCAGCUUGUUGGUGGGGUAAUGGCCUACCAAGGCGACGACGGGUAGCCGGCCUGAGAGGGUGACCGGUCACACUGGGACUGAGAUACGGCCCAGACUCCUACGGGAGGCAGCAGUGGGGAAUAUUGCACAAUGGGCGCAAGCCUGAUGCAGCGACGCCGCGUGAGGGAUGACGGCCUUCGGGUUGUAAACCUCUUUCAGCUAUGACGAAGCGCAAGUGACGGUAGUAGCAGAAGAAGGACCGGCCAACUACGUGCCAGCCGCCGCAGUAA
rnacentral:rRNA from 1 species